CUGCGGUCGCUCCUUCCAGCGCUUCGCCAGCCGGCCCUCUCCGCUCGUCGUCCCGAAGCCCUGCGAGCGUUUUCUUGCGUGUUUUCUUUCUCUUGCUCGCUCUGUUCGCCGUCUCUGACGUCAAACCCGUCCGUUUGCAAGGACCUUGCCCCUCUCGCCGUCCGUACGCUGGGGGAGAGGACUCCUUCUCAGUAGGACUCCUCGUAUGACUGGCACCUCAUUUUGGUGGAUGAUGAAACCUGCAAGGAAACACUAACUUGCCUACAAAAGGGACUAGCGUUUUGAAGGUAGAAGAACAGGAACCUUCCAGUGACUGGUACAGACCAUCUCGUAGAACAAAUGGAGGGAAGCUAAUAACACAUGAGCUGUUACCUCUCUUCCAAAGAGAGAUUCAGCUGAAGGGGCUUACAGAGCUGUGCGACUCUAAUCUGAGCCUUUAGGUUUAAGUAUUUAUUGUUUGCGUUUAAAUGUGUUGUAGGAGCAGUGACCAGGCAUCAAAACUAUGUCCAGCCUGUCUGAAGCAGCCUUUUCCCCGGAAACAAGGAUCCUUUACGCUGAUGACAAGAGAAGGCAUUGAACACAGGAAGGUUUAUGGAAAGAAGCUAAGAGUACAUCUGGCUUCAGCGUGCAACACGAUCCUGGGGCUACAAAACUCCUGCUGCUUUUUCACUUCUGUCACCUGCACUAAGCCCAAGGUACCCUGUUACCCCAACAGCCAUGUCCUCCUGAGCUGAGUGGGUAGCUGGAAAUCUCCGGGUUUAGGAAUGCAGCUGUCCUACAGGUAGAAAUACAGACUAACCUCAGACUGGGACUCUAUCAUCUUCACAGUCAGUCAUUCUGUUUUUUAUCCACCUUGUGCAAUUUUUGCCCAUCUUUCUUGUCUUUUACAGAAAAGAAUCACUGGUAUUGUCUCUUCUCUUUUCCCUUGGUUCUGCUUUUCAUUUCAGACAGCCUGUGACUCACUGCAAAGGUAUUGUCCUGUUUCCUUAUUAGCUGUGAGGUUGGCCUGCAGGAGUGGUGGCAGUGUGUGAGGUGGAGUCACGGCUAUAUCGGGGAAGCCGGAACUGUCUGGGUUUGCGGUGAGUCUGAGCUAUGAGGCAGGUGUCUGCACCUCCCUGGCGUUUGUGCUCAGCCUGCGGCAGUGUAUCAGACCUAGCGGCAGAAAACCGAAGUCGGUAGGCAGCUCCGAUGGACUUCGGGUACUAGUGUCAGCUGGAUCAUCUACUACAAAACAGUGCAUCUAGAGGACGGAGUGGAGAGGGGAUGCUGCUACAUAGUUGCCUGUGAUGGAAUUUCGUUUAUCGUAAUGCCGCAGAGGUCUUCAUCCAUAUUAAGGAAAGAUGACUGUUUCCAAUAAGUUCUCCUUCUAACACCAUGCUUGACUUAAGAGAAAAGCUGCGCAGUCAAGCGAACCCACCAAAAGUUUGAAUACUCUUGUGUCUUAAGCUACUAAGCAUCUGGAAAUGUUUUAUUGUUCCACAAUCUUGCCUAAAUGAGGUUGUUUGAAACUUGGGAACUAACCGAGAUAAAUACAGAUUGCAGACAAUGGCUUCGUUGACUCUUUAUUUGUCCCCGGACUCUUGCCUUCUGUGGAUGAGAAGAAAGGUCACUGAACAGCCCACGGUAACUUCUCUCCUUGUGUGAUGCCAGCUGUGAGUGUUUCUUUGGCAGUGUCUUAGCUGGUUGUUGUGAGCAAUAGUCGAAGAAGCAAUCAGCAAGUAUACUGCCCUAGAAGUGCUACACGUUGUUGGGCCUACCUCAUAUCUCCCUGGCUUGAGAGCUGGAUGUGGAUCCAGGUUGGGAUGCUGCCCAGGCGUUCUGUGUUGCACUGGAGCUUGGGGUGUUUGUGAUGGAGCAGAGGGCUUAUGUGAAAAAUGCCACAGGAUGCCAGAUGAUGCAGUCACUGCAUGAGAGACAGAGGAUGAAGAAAAGAGAAGAUAAAUGUGUUGCAAGUUGCUCUGCUCUUUGUUUGUUCUCCACACGCACAGCUUCCUGAAAGUAAAAUUUCAGCUAUUGUUAGUAAUGCUGCAAAAAUGUGGCAGUGAGUACUGGGAGAAGGGUCUCCCUUUAGGAAGGAUUUAUUUGAGCUUUGACCUCAGGUUGGUAAUGACAAACUGCCUUGGCUCUGAACUGGUGUGUGACCCAUUUGUAAUCACUGUUUCUUCUGGGUGCUGGUCAGCAGCUGUGCAGGAUGCAAAGCACAGCCUUGGAGUUCCCAGCUCGGCUGCUUCCCUGAUUGAAGCUGUUCCACUGCAAGGGCAUUUGAGUCAGAGCGGUGUGAAUCCUGAUGCACAAGUAUAGAUGCAGGAGGGAGCAGAGACCUUAUGGGGUUGUCCUGUGCCUUGCUUGAUAUUUUGAACUGCAUUCCACGAGUGCAAGAUGGACAGCCAUGGGCACGUCUGAGUUGCUCCCUGUUUCUAUCCUGUAGGGAGUCUGUGGUAUUGAAGUGUCCCCAGCUGAUGUGCUGCAGGCACAUUCAGUCAUGUGCCUAAAAACUUAGUUGAUCUUUCUAGGGGAGAACUAAUUAGAUUUUAAUGAUGCAGUGAAACAUAUUACUCAUUACCUUGUCUGGAUAAGAGGGAGAUGAGGACUUAUUGAAAGGCAAGUCUAGGAUAAGGACUGAGUAUUUGUGAAGGAGGAAAUGUAAGAGCACCCCAGCCUUGGGAGGGUGAAAGGCCUUGCCUAAGUCUUAUUUAAGCUUCCAGUACCCACACAGAGGAUAAUAAGAGCUUACUUUGGUUUUGAUUGAGUCAAGCUGUUUUUAUGCCUCGUUCUCUGUGGCCCCACUGACUGGGCAUCAACUGGCUGUUGUGGUCCAGGGAUUUCACGCUCCUGUAAAACACUAGCUAUGACUUUGUGCACACUUCUGUAAGCCCUUUUUUUUCUUUUUCAAAGGUGGACAUAAUUGCAUUAGUCCAAGUUACAGGGAGCUGUGAAAUACAAAGGAUUGUCUAUAAAAUGUCUGUUUUCAGCAGGUAAUGGAUGGCUGGAAGGGAGCAGAGUCUCCUUCUGUUGCAACUCUUCUGAAACUUCAUUUCUGUCUUUGCAUGGUGUUUUGAGCUGGUACAUCAGCUUUCCUCAAACUAGUCAUUUUUUAUGACCUUUUUAAAGGAUUAUUCCUGUUUUUUAGAGCAAAGGUAAGCAUUGGUCUCAAUUUUUUGGGAGGGAGAAAUGUGGUGUAUUUUUACUUUCUAAUUUAGCAGCAUUAUAGGUAAUAUGAAUGGCUAAAAACCAUUGCAUUGAGCAUAUGCCUCUCUGUAGCGCUUGCCUCCUGAGUAACUGCCCUUCGUAGUGCCCUUUCACAAAGCGCCACCGCUCCAUACUUCUGUCGAGCGGGGUGUUGGCUGAAAGGAACCGAUGCAACGUCUGGAUCACGCCCGAGGUGACAGCCGAACACUCGGGGCUCGACCCAUCUUGCUUGCCCUGCAAUUUCUGAGCAGCUUCACCUGCGUUAAUAAAGUCAGCGGCUUUGAAUUCCAAGUAUAUAAAGUAAUGUUCUCUCCAAGCUUCCUGCACCUAACUUUGGUGUAGUUGUAGUUAAACCAGGGAGGUUGGCAGAGACUGUUUCUGAAAAUAAAUGAGCAUUGUAUUUCAGAGUUGGGUUAAAUCUGCUCCUCUUCCCCGGAGAAGAUACGGCUACUGCAAACAGCACUGAAGACCAAGCAGUGUUGGAGCUCUGGGGCAAGGCCAUGGCUGAGCCCCUUGGCUGGAUGAAUGGGAGCAGUUGUGCACUGGUCUGUUGGUGGCUGAGCACCCACAUAUGAGGGCAGAGCCUGUAAUUGUUUAAUGCAAGCAUUUUAUGUCUACUUUUGCUAAAGGAGAGCAAGGGGAAUGAUUUGGUGUUUUACUGCACGGUUCUGAGACUAUCUUUGGCUUCUGGGCUGUGGAUGUUGAGCACAGAGCGAGUGUCCUCGAGUCAGUGAAAAAAGCAGUCUCCUGGGCUCUGUUGAACAGCUUCCCAUUAGCAAAAUUGUCUGUUUGCUGCUUUGCGCCUCAUCUGUGUGAAAUAACUUGCAUGAGUGAGGUUUCCUGCUUUGUAGCUAGGAAAGUUGACAUGCUUCAUGCCUCUUCCUACACCAGUGGUCUCAUUAGCUUUGAUAUCCCUGUCUCAUCUGUGUCAAAGCCGCAGACUCUAGGCAGAGCUUUAUGCUGCAAAGUAUGCUGUACAGCUCCAAUUCCAUUUUCAGUAAAAGCUACCUCAAAAAAAUUACUUUGGCCUAUUUUCCUACUGCUGAACAUAAGAGACGCAUAUGCUUGUCUAAGAAGACCACGUCUUAAAUGUGAUGUUUUUAUUCACUGCAUAUUUUAAGUUUCACUGUUAAUGAACAAUUUCAAUACCUUUAUUUUUCUCCCUGCAACCACAGCAUGCAGGCAUAUCCCUUAUUAAUCUCCUAAUUUAAAUUUGAAGAGGAAAACUAUCACAGUACUGGGAGCACACUCUAAUUCAUUGAUUGUGCUGGCUUGACUCCAACAGUGUAACUAACUCUGCUCUGCCUGCAUAAAAUUCCCCUUGUAGCUGGUGGCUUUUUUUUUUUGUCAGUUGCUGGCUUGAAUUCUGGUGCGGUCUCUGCAGCCUGACUAUGCAUUUUUGAUGCUAAUGGAAAACUCCUUAAAAUGAUGAAGUACCUCUCCUUUGUGGAAGGAAAGGCACCGGGCUCACUAAUCGGACCCAGCAUAGUGCUCUGCCAAUAGUUAUGUCCUGUUUCUGCAACCGUGCACGCUCCUCUCUGUUGUGCUUCCAGUGUACUGGAGAUGGGAUAAGAAGGGCUUCAUAAUGCCCAGACCCAGCUUGAUCCAGCAGCCGUGUGCAUGGUCGUGCUUGCACCGCGGCUAACCUAGGUUGGAGUAGCUGCUCAUGCUACCAAGUCAGUACUCGGACACUGAAAACAGACCUGCCUGCUUUGGGGAGGUAUCUUGCUAAGGUGUUAUUGAACAGCAGAGGGAUGGGAGGCAGGAGAAUGGGGGAAUUAAUCCAGAAGUAGCAGCAGCAGGAGGGAAAAAAAAAUAAAUCAGUUUUGGGACUUGCAUAAUCGAGACAAAGUAAGAAUUCAUUUGGCAUUUGUUAAUUCUGGGAGUCCUAGAAUAAAUUGAAACUAUCUAUGGUGGUGCUUUCUAAUUAUUGUAAAAGCGUAAGGGGAGCUUCUGUAGUAUUUUACUCGCAGCUUUUCUUGUGUGAGCCCUCUCUUUCCUGGUGGAGAGCAAGGGCUGCUGGUAUUAGCUUUCCUUCGUGGAAAAGAGGAUUAAACUGAAACAACAGGUGGCUGUUGAGUGCUGCGGGAGUCCCUGGCGCUCAGCGAGGAUCGCGUGCUUCUGCACCCCAGGCCUCCCUUCGCUGAGCUUAGUGAAGUACUACCAGCGACACGCGUGUGCGUGCCUUAGCAGGUACGUGUGUGAGGGGCAGUGGUUUCAUUUAUUAGCUCCUCCAGCCUAGCGUCUGCUAGCUGCCUGUUCCAGGGGUUCUCCGUGUUAAGCUUAUUCCUUCCAACAAGAUCACCUGCUGUGGCUGCUGCACGCUCAGGUCUCCUGCAGACCUCCAGACAGAUAGGGCUGUGUGAAUGAAAGAUGCUGUUUCAGUGCAUUUUGCCUCUAGGCACCUUCUUUAUUUCUCCCCUUCUGCAAGGGAUGCAGAUGGAGAUGCAGAUUUGGCAAGAAGACUUUUCCACUCAUUGCUGCCAGCCAUGAAACAAACUUCUUAUGAUUUUUCCCACUCGAGGAGUGGGGGGAAAAAAUACAUCUCCUUUCCAGCUCCAAAUUACCAUGGUGGGCUUCAUUUAUGUUUCCUUGUAUUGCAGUUCUGCUUCCAAAUGUCUCUCGCUGUAUGCAACACAGCCUCCUGCUGUGCCAAACUUCCAGCAUGACCCUUUGCAUCUGACUGUCAGAUUCCUCCCGGUGGACUUGGUAGCACCUAGCUGUACUUCUUGCAGAGCUGUCUUGACCCCAGUGUUUGCCAAAUAAAACCUUUCAGACCUUUGAAAACCGUUUCUCUGAAAACAAACGCCACAGGAGCUGGCUGCAGGGUCUGCACCUAUGUAUCCGACUGCCUCCUUGCCAAGUGUUCUCGAUAGAAUAUGUAGGGAAUGUGUUUCCUGACUUUUUAGAAGUCUUACAGACUUUUUGCUUGAUGUACUUCUGAAUCUCCUACCUGCAGAAGCUGUUGUCUGGAAGGGACGGUUACUGAGAAAUCGCUCAAGAGGCUGUCCGUGAUCCUCCUGGAGCUUCUCGAGUGGUCCUGGAAGUCUCUGGUCACCCUGCACGGAAGGCUGUUGUUUGUAUUGGUCCCAAAGGAAUAGAUGAGGUUAAUAAAGUCAAGGAUUCGGGCCUUAGCCUGAGCUGGGGUUGCUGUAGAAGUGGACAUUUUUAGUCAUAUACUAGAAAAAGUAACAGUGGACAAUCAUAGGCACUUGCCCCUCUCUCAGAAGCCUCCUCUUAACCGUACCUCCCCGGCUUCCUUUCAGUUGGUGCAGUGAGCCCAAGGAUCAGGUGGUGGCUCAGAAAAAUAGUGUGAUUCUCCUGGAAACCAAGAGAUCAGUGGCUCAGUGGAGAUCACUGGUAAAACUGUUGGCUGUUUUUUUGUCUUCUGUGCGUGUGCAUGGUUUUUUGUGUAUGUGUGUGUGAUCUCGGAGUUGGGGAUGAUAAUCCAGUUCAACUUUUGGCUAGACGUUGUAGUAUGUGUAUUGUAUCUUGUACUGGAGUAGCCAGGCUAUGCUAAAGAUCUGUCAGUGGAAGGCUAUGCAUGAUGCAUGUAAUCUUGUGCUCCUCUGAGGAAGAGAGUGGGAGCUGGGUGUCUUAUUGCUCCCAGGCUGAGCCCUAAGAAGCUGGUGAGUACAAAAAAAGUUGCAUUGACUUCCUUGACAGGAACUGCAUGAUAAUAGACUUAAACAUUAAAGGUUUUUUGCCCAAACUGAGCCUCUGCUGGCUGAGUUUUUGCUAGUUACUUCCAUAGUAUCUUAUUUUUUCAUGGAUGCAGCUGUGUCGAGCUUUGCUUCUCUGUGAGCUCCUCAUUGAUGCUCCUGUUGUGUAAGCUGUGGGUGUGAGGCAAGGAUAACGUGGGGGUGACCAAAGCGAGGCUAUGGGUGCAGAGCAGUCGGCCUUCAUCGGGCAUGGGGAAGUGUCUCCUGCUAGAUCGGGGAGACGCCGAUAGGAAAACACUACUGCUUGGAACAGCAGUGACCUCUUGUGGGUAGUGAGGAGGGCUGGUGGAGCUGGAAGUUGGCACUCGGAGUCAGAGGAUACUUAUUCAGCCAUACUUACGUUCACGGCCUUGAAGUGCAUGUGGUAAAGGGAGCACGGACUCCACUGGCCGGAUAUCAGGAACACACCGCUGUAAAGGGUGCCAGCUCUUCUCUUCUGCGCGUGCAUGUGCUCUGAAGCUGUGAUGCGAAAACGUCCUCGUUGUUCAGGAGCAGCCCAGACUCUUGUCUCUCCCCUUGGAGAACCCAGAAUUGGCCUUCCUGCACAUCUCACAUCCUGUGAGAUGAAUUAAAAGUCACGAAACAAGGUGAAAUUCUCAAAGGAGAAUUUUCAUCCCGUGUGUUGCUACGCAGCAAGCUAGUCACUCAGAUUUUACUUCUCCCUGCCCUGAGCUAAAUAGAUCACUGCCUUUGAGUUUGUCAGGUAUUUUUAGGCAGUUUCCAAAUAUUUCCGUUCUCUGGGCAACUGCAGAUUCCAUGGGACUGAAGGUAGGAAUGCAUUUCUGGGCAGACACAGCUGCGCUGCUGCCCCGCUGUUGGAAAGCAGCAAUAUCAAGAUUACAGGAAUGCAGAAGACGGGCUGGGCAGCGGAUGCCUCGCUCAUGCAGAUGUCAGAACGUGGAAGGUGGUGGGACUCUAGCGAGACGUCAUCUGCCUUUUAUUGCUCAGUUUUGAAGCAGUAACUCUUUGCACAUGCCAGGCUGUUAAGUUAUUUCUCUGUGUAAAUUAACCCUAUUUACAUUUUCAGAAAAUAGGGAGAGGGCCGGCAAAAGACGUUAUGGCUGUCCUAUCUAUUUCUGAACUCUGAGGGUGAAGUACUUCUCUGAGCGAAAUUGGACAAAAGAGUUUGAAUUUCCACUAACUUAUGCGUUGUGAUUCAAAUACUCUCUUUUAUCCAGUUGUGAAAAAGUAGUUUAAGUUGGGUCAUCAAAACACAUGGAAAUAAACGAUUACCUUGUAAGACUAAGAAUUAAGCUGUCUUGUUGGACCGCAUCUGUCACCAAAAAAAAAAAAAACCCAACACCUGAAAUCCAGGGUUGAAGAUGAAGUGGUUUGUCUGGAUGUUUGUGAUAGGUGGGUGGAUCUGUCUUGUUUCUUUAUUUUUGUGCUGUGAAAGGGAAGGGUGGGAGGAAACAAAAGUAAAAAGCCAAGAAUGUACAAGAGCAACCACUGGAAACACAGCCUUGACAAAGUUUUAUCUUAUAUUUUUUGGGGUCAGAUGGUGACUAAAAGGAGCCUGGACUAAUGACUUAAUGUCAGACCGUGUUCAGGGGAAAUACGACUUGCUGCAAAUUCCUUUUCCUAUAAAGAACAUACAGAGGGCACUGGGCUCCAAAAUACAUUUCUUCUAAGUGGGAAAGCAUGCUAGACUGAAGUCUGGCUAAGUCUUAAAGGUCAAAAAGGUAUGUAGAAUUUUUUUUCAAGAGGAAAUAAUUUUAAAAUAGAGCAAAUGCCAGAUGCAUCAAGGUGACCAAGAGGGAACACGAUAAGCCUGGAUAUAGCUGGAGACUUGGUAAAGAGAAUUUGAGUAAUUAAGAAAAGCUCUGAAGCUGCAUCUAGCAACUUCUUGGAAGGCGUCGGUAGGACUUGCCCUCAGAGACGAACCUCUGGCGCAGAAGCAACGUGGUGUUUGGUCAGCGCAGGAAGGACAGCUCUAAGAUGGUUUGUCGGGGGGGUGCUCUGCAUGCUGCCUUGAGUGGAUCCUUCCUUGCUGAUAGCUGGGAAAUGAUUAAACUGUUUGAUGGAACCAGAUAGCUGGAACAAUAGCGAUCUACAUGGGAAAAUAAGCAUAUACUGGCAUCCAAAUCAAAGCUGGUUUCAGAGUUGUCUGCAGGGAAGCAAAUGAAGUAUCGGGCAAGGUAGCAGCAAACGAGGAUGUGCUUUCAACUUGUAAGUUCCUCGGGAACAAGCACUUCCUUACCGACAGAAAUAAAACCUGUUUGUUAUGGUAGCAAAUCCCGUGUCCUGUUUGCUCACCCUUUUCUGCUUCACAGGUUGCAAGAUACCGCAAGAAUCGGCGUUGCCGUCUUCCGGAAUCGAGGAGGCGGGAGGUAAAGAGCUGUAUGCCUCGGAGCGGAUCGUCGUGCUGGUCUCCUGCGUGCUGUCCUGUCUGGGCUCCAGCCUGCUGGUGUGCACCCACGCCCUGUGGCCGGAGCUGCGGACCCGUCCACGCCAGCUCCUGCUCUACCUGUCCCUGGCUGACCUCCUCUCGGCCCUGUCUUACUUCUACGGGGUGCUGCAGGACUUCGACAGGACUUCAUGGGAUUGCGUGCUGCAGGGCGCCCUGUCCACCUUCUCCAACACCAGCUCCUUCUUCUGGACCAUGGCCAUUGCCCUCUACCUCUAUGUCACCAUUGUGAGGGGCUCGCCCACAGGCACGGGCUUGCUCUGCUGCUUCCACGUUGUGAGCUGGGGAGUCCCCCUUGGCAUUACAGUGGCUGCUGUUGCACUGAAGAAGAUUGGCUAUGAUGCCUCCAAUGUUUCUGUUGGCUGGUGUUGGGUCAACUUGGAUGCAGAGGAUCGGAUUCUGUGGAUGCUGUUAACGGGGAAAGUUUGGGAGAUACUGGCCUAUGUGACUUUGCCGGUGCUCUACAUCCUCAUCAAGAAGCACAUUAACAGAGCACAUGCAGCACUGUCCGAGUAUCGCCCCAUCCUCUCAAGAGCACCUGCAUUUCAGCCCCGGACUUCUAUAGCAGAUAAGAAGUUGAUUCUUAUCCCUGUCAUCUUCAUCAUCCUACGCAUCUGGAGCACUGUGCGAUUCAUUCUGACCCUCUGCAACUCCCCGGCAGUACAAAACUCGGUCCUUGUUGUCCUGCAUGGAAUUGGUAACACGUUCCAAGGAGGUGCCAACUGUAUUAUGUUUGUCCUCUGUACUCGGGUGGUCCGGGCUCGACUCUUCUCCUUCGUUUGCUGUUGCCACUAUGACAGCUUGGGCUGGCCUUUGCAGAGGUCCAACAGCAGUCAGCAGCACCCAGAGCCCUGCAAGAACAAGGACGCUCCAGACCCCGAGCGGACAAGACCUCUACUUUCCAGCACCUGAACCUCGACUGCCCACACCUCAGUGCUGAUUUCAUCUUUCUUGGUAAAAACCUAGUGUGCAGGAUCGUCCUGGAGUCCCACAGAGGGAGCUAGAGCCCGGCAGAAGAGCCCUGCUGGAGUGAGUGAGCAAGCAGAAGGGGUCCCCGCGCCUCCCUGGCAUUCAGAUCCCAGCUGCUGCCGUCUUGAUCUUCACUCGGGAUCUUCUGGAAGAUACUGUUUGGUGACGCUCCAACUUCCUGGUUUUCUUCCCUCUCCUUCUCUCUGUCUCCACCAUAAACCUUAGAAAUUGUUUGGGGUUUUGCUUUUCUGUUCGAUGAGGUGUUCUUGUGAGCUCUGGGGAGAGCAAAUACCGUGGUGAUAGGAAAAAUUUAGCAGCUGCUGAACAGGACUGUCCUGGACAUGCAUUUGAGUCCUGGUGCAUGAAAUCUUCCAGGGAGCUCUGGACUGGCUCCUGUUCUUCACUUGAAUGUGGACGGUAGUCUGCAAACAUGUUUCCUGGUGGGGAUGGACGAUUCACCUUGAUGUUUUGCUGCUCCUCCUCGGUGGUUGAAGGUCCUCAUCGUCAGUGUUUGUGGUGGCAGCAUGCUUAUUGUUUCCUGGGAUAAUCUGAACUCUGGACUCUUGGUGCUGAAGGAUAUUUAGGUGUACCAGGACAGCCCUUGCCAACAGCAAGGUGGUGCUUGGCACGUGCUCUGAGUGUCAGGUGUCCUUUGCCAAAGCAGACUGUGGGGUCUGGUUGGACCUGGGGAGGGGAUGUUUUUAUUGGUUUGCUGUUUGGAGAUACUAAUAUACCCUGUUUACAGCUCCUCACUCUAGUUGUUUUUAAAUAUUUUCUCAGACUUUGACAAAAUAAAGCUUUGUUUCUUUACUGAGCUGUUGUUCUUCAAGUGUGUUGGGAUGGGCCUGUCAGCACCUUGAAGAGCUGGGAUCAGAGACCGUUGCAAGAUCUUCAGGCUUCUUGUGUGUCUAUAAUGGGGGAGGAAAA